UUUAAUUGAAGAGUUUGAUCAUGGCUCAGAUUGAACGCUGGCGGCAGGCCUAACACAUGCAAGUCGAGCGGCAGCACAGAGGAACUUGUUCCUUGGGUGGCGAGCGGCGGACGGGUGAGUAA
rnacentral:rRNA from 1 species